rnacentral:rRNA from 1 species
UAGCUAGUUGGUGAGGUAACGGCUUACCAAGGCGACGAUCUGUAGCGGGUCUGAGAGGAUGAUCCGCCACACUGGAACUGAGACACGGUCCAGACUCCUACGGGAGGCAGCAGUGGGGAAUUUUGGACAAUGGGGGCAACCCUGAUCCAGCCAUGCCGCGUGAGUGAAGAAGGCCUUCGGGUUGUAAAGCUCUUUCGGCCGGGAAGAAAUCGCAUGGGCCAAUACCCUGUGUGGAUGACAGUACCGGAAUAAGAAGCACCGGCUGACUACGUGCCAGCAGCCGCGGUAAUACGUAGGGUGCGAGCGUUAAUCGGAAUUACUGGGCGUAAAGCGUGCGCAGGCGGUUUUGUAAGACAGGCGUGAAAUCCCCGGGCUCAACCUGGGAACUGCGUUUGUGACUGCAAGGCUAGAGUACGGCAGAGGGGGGUGGAAUUCCACGUGUAGCAGUGAAAUGCGUAGAGAUGUGGAGGAACACCAAUGGCGAAGGCAGCCCCCUGGGUCGAUACUGACGCUCAUGCACGAAAGCGUGGGUAGCAAACAGGAUUAGAUACCCUGGUAGUCCACGCCCUAAACUAUGUCAACUAGGUGUUGGGUGGGUAAAACCAUUUAGUACCGUAGCUAACGCGUGAAGUUGACCGCCUGGGGAGUACGGCCGCAAGGUUAAAACUCAAAGGAAUUGACGGGGACCCGCACAAGCGGUGGAUGAUGUGGAUUAAUUCGAUGCAACGCGAAAAACCUUACCUACCCUUGACAUGCCAGGAACUUGCCAGAGAUGGCUUGGUGCCCGAAAGGGAGCCUGGACACAGGUGCUGCAUGACUGUCGUCAGCUCGUGUCGUGAGAUGUUGGGUUAAGUCCCGCAACGAGCGCAACCCUUGUCGUUAAUUGCCAUCAUUUAGUUGGGCACUUUAGCGAGACUGCCGGUGACAAACCGGAGGAAGGUGGGGAUGACGUCAAGUCCUCAUGGCCCUUAUGGGUAGGGCUUCACACGUCAUACAAUGGUCGGUACAGAGGGUCGCCAAGCCGCGAGGUGGAGCCAAUCCCAGAAAGCCGAUCGUAGUCCGGAUUGCAGGCUGCAACUCGCCUGCAUGAAGUCGGAAUCGCUAGUAAUCGUGGAUCAGCAUGUCACGGUGAAUACGUUCCCGGGUCUUGUACACACCGCCCGUCACACCAUGGGAGCGGGUUCCGCCAGAAGUAGGUAGCCUAACCGCAAGGAGGGCGCUUACCACGGCGGGGUUCGUGACUGGGGUGAAGUCGGAACAAGGUAGCCGUAGGGGAACCUGCGGCUG